rnacentral:rRNA from 1 species
AUGACAAUCUCACUCAGGAUUACCAGCUCGCUGGUCCAUGGCGAUUCGAAUCUCCUCAUCCAGCAGGUGGUGAAAGAGUGGGACAUUAGGGGCGAAUCACUAACUACCUAUUGCGCAACCGUCGGAAAGCUAGAAGGAAUAUUCGAAGGACUGGAGUUGACUCACGUUUGGAGAGUUGAGAAUGAGGUAGUUGCUUCCUUGGCGAAGCUUGGUUUCACUGGGUUGCCAAUUCGACCUGGUAUUUUUCUUCACCAACUCCAUGAAUCGACUAUUCAUGAGAAACCAUAUGGCAAUCCAGAUAAUCCUCAAUAG